GGGCUUUACUGAGGCUUCCACCAGAACGGUGCUGCUGUUUUGUCGCCUCUGAACUGCUUACUGUACAAUAUUUCCACAGAUAGCAAGUGAAGAGCCUGGUGCGGAUCAUCAUCGAGAUUCGCUCCGAGAAACGUACCUUCACAGCCGGCCCUCGAUCUAUCUAAGAAAGAAGGACCUGGCUGGACCAAAGGGAGAAAAGGUAUGUGGUGCUCGCACUUUGUCUUUUUACGUCUACAUUCUUACUUAUUUGACAAAACAGCUUAUAGUAAUAUCUGAGCCAUUUUACAGCUCUAAGCUGGAGUGAUUUCAGGGAAGGUAAAGCACCUUGUUCAAGCUGCUAUAGCAGGAGUAGGAAAUGGGAGUCAAACAAACUACCCUCGGGUCAAAAGUCCGUGUCUCUAUUCUGUACACGACCUACUGCCCUUAACUGCUGCGUCACCAGGAUGCUACUUUGGACGUUAC
rnacentral:lncRNA from 1 species